AACGAACGCUGGCGGCAGGCUUAACACAUGCAAGUCGAGCGCCCCGCAAGGGGAGCGGCAGACGGGGGAGUAACGCGUGGGAAGCUACCCAUCUCUACGGAAUAACGCAUGGAAACGUGUGCUAAUACCGUAUACGUCCUUCGGGAGAAAGAUUUAUCGGAGAUGGAUGAGCCCGCGUUGGAUUAGCUAGUUGGUGGGGUAAAGGCCUACCAAGGCGAAGAUCCAUAGCUGGUCUGAGAGGAUGAUCAGCCACACUGGGACUGAGACACGGCCCAGACUCCUACGGGAGGCAGCAGUGGGGAGUAUUGGACAAUGGGCGCAAGCCUGAUCCAGCCAUGCCGCGUGAGUGAUGAAGGCCCUAGGGUUGUAAAGCUCUUUCACCGGUGAAGAUAAUGACGGUAACCGGAGAAGAAGCCCCGGCUAACUUCGUGCCAGCAGCCGCGGUAAUAC
rnacentral:rRNA from 1 species